UUAGCGGCGGACGGGUGAGUAACGCGUGGGCAACCUGCCUUACACAGGGGGAUAACAAUUAGAAAUGAUUGCUAAUACCGCAUAAGACCCCAGUACUGCAUGGUACAGAGGUAAAAACUGAGGUGGUGUAAGAUGGGCCCGCGUCUGAUUAGGUAGUUGGUGGGGUAGAAGCCUACCAAGCCGACGAUCAGUAGCCGACCUGAGAGGGCGACCGGCCACAUUGGGACUGAGACACGGCCCAAACUCCUACGGAAGGCAGCAG
rnacentral:rRNA from 1 species